rnacentral:rRNA from 1 species
GAACGAACGCUGGCGGCAGGCCUAACACAUGCAAGUCGAGCGCACCCUUCGGGGCGAGCGGCGGACGGGUUAGUAACGCGUGGGAACAUACCUUUCACUACGGAAUAGCCUCGGGAAACUGAGAGUAAUACCGUAUACGCCCUUCGGGGGAAAGAUUUAUCGGUGAAAGAUUGGCCCGCGUAAGAUUAGAUAGUUGGUGGGGUAAUGGCCUACCAAGUCUACGAUCUUUAGCUGGUUUUAGAGGAUGAUCAGCAACACUGGGACUGAGACACGGCCCAGACUCCUACGGGAGGCAGCAGUGGGGAAUCUUAGACAAUGGGCGCAAGCCUGAUCUAGCCAUGCCGCGUGUGUGAUGAAGGCCUUAGGGUCGUAAAGCACUUUCGCUAGGGAUGAUAAUGACAGUACCUAGUAAAGAAACCCCGGCUAACUCCGUGCCAGCAGCCGCGGUAAUACGGAGGGGGUUAGCGUUGUUCGGAAUUACUGGGCGUAAAGCGUACGUAGGCGGAUCAGAAAGUAGGGGGUGAAAUCCCGAGGCUCAACCUCGGAACUGCCUCCUAAACUCCUGGUCUUGAGUUCGAGAGAGGUGAGUGGAAUUCCAAGUGUAGAGGUGAAAUUCGUAGAUAUUUGGAGGAACACCAGUGGCGAAGGCGGCUCACUGGCUCGAUACUGACGCUGAGGUACGAAAGUGUGGGGAGCAAACAGGAUUAGAUACCCUGGUAGUCCACACCGUAAACGAUGAAUGCCAGUCGUCGGGUAGCAUGCUAUUCGGUGACACACCUAACGGAUUAAGCAUCCG